rnacentral:rRNA from 1 species
UACGGGGGGGGCAAGCGUUGUUCGGAAUUACUGGGCGUAAAGGGCUCGUAGGCGGCCAACUAAGUCAGACGUGAAAUCCCUCGGCUUAACCGGGGAACUGCGUCUGAUACUGGAUGGCUUGAGAUUGGGAGAGGGAUGCGGAAUUCCAGGUGUAGCGGUGAAAUGCGUAGAUAUCUGGAGGAACACCGGUGGCGAAGGCGGCAUCCUGGACCGGUAUUGACGCUGAGGAGCGAAAGCCAGGGGAGCAAACGGG